rnacentral:rRNA from 1 species
AUUGAACGCUGGCGGCAGGCUUAACACAUGCAAGUCGAGCGGAGAUGAGGUGCUUGCACCUUAUCUUAGCGGCGGACGGGUGAGUAAUGCUUAGGAAUCUGCCUAUUAGUGGGGGACAACAUUCCGAAAGGAAUGCUAAUACCGCAUACGCCCUACGGGGGAAAGCAGGGGAUCUUCGGACCUUGCGUUAAUAGAUGAGCCUAAGUCGGAUUAGCUAGUUGGUGGGGUAAAGGCCUACCAAGGCGACGAUCUGUAGCGGGUCUGAGAGGAUGAUCCGCCACACCGGGACUGAGACACGGCCCAGACUCCUACGGGAGGCAGCAGUGGGGAAUAUUGGACGAUGGGCGGAAGCCUGAUCUAGCCAUGCCGCGUGUGUGAAGAAGGCCUUUUGGUUGUAAAGCACUUUAAGCGAGGAGGAGGCUCUUCUAGUUAAUACCUAGGAUGAGUGGACGUUACUCGCAGAAUAAGCACCGGCUAACUCUGUGCCAGCCGCCGCCGUAAAAC